rfam:Rivularia sp. PCC 7116, complete genome.
GCGGUUGUAGCCAAGUGGUUAAGGCAGAGGUUUGUGGUAUCUCCAUUCGUGGGUUCGAGUCCCAUCAGCCGCC